rnacentral:rRNA from 1 species
UUCCAUAUCAAGCUUUUGCGUACAGGAUGGACCCGCGUCUGAUUAGCUUGUUGGUGAGGUAACGGCUCACCAAGGCGACGAUCAGUAGCCGACCUGAGAGGGUGAUCGGCCACAUUGGAACUGAGACACGGUCCAAACUCCUACGGGAGGCAGCAGUGGGGAAUAUUGCACAAUGGGCGCAAGCCUGAUGCAGCAACGCCGCGUGAGCGAUGAAGGCCUUCGGGUCGUAAAGCUCUGUCCUAAGGGAAGAUAAUGACGGUACCUUAGGAGGAAGCCCCGGCUAACUACGUGCCAGCAGCCGCGGUAAUACGUAGGGGCGAGCGUUAUCCGGAUUUACUGGGCGGUCGACGCGGCCG